GGCGUGCUAUACUGCAGUCGAGCGAUGGAUUGAGAGCUUGCUCUCAAGAAGUUAGCGGCGGAGGGUGAGUAACACGUGGGUAAACUGCCCAUAAGACUGGGAUAACUCCGGGAAACCGGGGCUAAUACCCGAUAACAUUUUGAACUGC
rnacentral:rRNA from 1 species